rnacentral:rRNA from 1 species
UACGUAGGGGGCAAGCGUUGUCCGGAAUCAUUGGGCGUAAAGAGCGCGUAGGCGGCCCUGUAAGUCCGCUGUGAAAGUCAAGGGCUCAACCCUUGGAUGCCGGUGGAUACUGCAGGGCUAGAGUCCGGAAGAGGCGACUGGAAUUCCUGGUGUAGCGGUGAAAUGCGCAGAUAUCAGGAGGAACACCGGUGGCGAAGGCGGGUCUCUGGGCCGAUACUGACGCUGAGGAGCGAAAGCGUGGGGAGCGAACAGG